rnacentral:lncRNA from 1 species
UCCCCAGGUUGAGGCACAUGGGAAGCUCCUUUCUGAGCCCCGUUCUCCCCUUGUGUCUUUCAGUGAGCUCUUCCACAUAGGAGGGCCCCCUGGCAUUGACUGGCGUAGGGUUCAGUGGUGGAGAGAGCAUCGGGUGCCCUGCGUCUGUGACGGGCCAGUAUUCCACAUGGAUCUCAUCACAUGGUCCAUGGAAGGUGAGCAUCCCUGAGCUGGCACACCCCACCUUCUGCCCGCAUGGAGGGGUGAGGUUGUGUUUGGACACCUGUCCUCUUUCUGUUCUUCGAGAUGAUGACCCCAGAGGAGGACUCGUGUUGGACGCACUGUCCCCGGGCCAGUGUCCAUCAGCCAGGUGCCUAGGCCCUAUUGCACUGUAGCUUGGGCCCUUCCUGUCACCUUGGUCUCC